AAACUAGUAAUUAAUUAAAAUAAAACUAGCUAUAAAUACACCGACAGUCAACUUUCUGCCAAUUAACAAAUGAACGUUAUAAUAAGGUAUAAAACUUUACGAUGAAUUUUACAUUUUUAUGUUGAAGAGGUUUUUCUUUUUUCUUUUUUCUAUUUUUUAAAAUUUUUACAACACAACCACGUAUACCACCUAAUUAUGUUGCUGCAGCAUUAAGUGUUAAAGACAUAUUAUGAAUAUUUAAACCAACGUUAGCAGCAAUAUUUUUGCUUGGCUGCUUCUCACCCCCUCCCCACCCCAUCCAAGAAGCGAACAAGUUUAGUGUGUUAUGUACCAUACAUUCAGGAGAAUGAUAAACUAUUACAUAAUUUGCUGAAACACGUAUCAGCAUUUUGCUAUUAACUGCACUAAUUAUAAUUGCUAUGAUAUUGCGUCAUUAGGUCUAUAAGAGGCCCUGGUCAUUGGUUCUAUAGGUACUAAUAUUUUGGCAUUGGUCCCUGGUUUAAAGUUCAUAGUAAACUAAUAUUUAUAUAAGAAAUUUACUGUUUGACUUGGAUGCAGUAACAGCAGCGGAUGUGUAUUCAACAACAUGUGACCAUUAUCAGUUUAAAAUAAGAUAAAUAGAGAAAGAAAACGUCAUACAGUGAUUAAUCAACUGUGAACUGAUGGAUCUGCAAUAAUGGAAUUAUUUGGUCCCAUUUGAUGGCCAGAAGGACUUAAGCUUGCUUGGUCAACGGGUAGUAUGUAUCACGGCGAAAAGUACCCGAUCCUAGGAUUAAAAGAUAAACGCACCUCAAAAUCCGCAUCAAGCCUCGGAAGUGCAACAGAAUCCUAUGGAGUGUCCGGCUACAAAAGUUUAUCAAUGAGUGAGACACGAACAUUGUCGAAUGUUUCCGACAUGGAAUUUAGUCAAGAACUGGCAUUCGGGGAAGAUAAUGACAUAAGUAGACAUAGCCAGGAUAGUCAGUCGAUAGAUUCGUAUUCAGAGCAAGUUAACAACGGGGAAGCAUUACAAGCUUGUAAAAAUUCUGUUAUUCAACCAUACCAAAAACUACUGACCAUCCUUGGGUGGCGACCAAUAUUCACUGCGGUGCCUUAUCACAACCAACCAUCAAGAUGUGUGCGCCCCAUCAACUUUUUCUAUCCGAUGUUAGUCUUCUGUGUCAUAAUUCUGAGCUUCCUUCUCCAGUUUGCUUCAUGCUAUCGUGUCAAUAUAAAUAUCCCUCAACAAAGAAACGCGUCAUCAAUGCGUCACAAUUUCUUAGACUGUCAAGAGUUUAUGAUCAGUCAGUAUAUAAUCCCAGAUGUACUGCAGUUAACAGCUUACGUUUACGCAUAUUAUAUCUACAAAGUAUGGGACAAGGAACAGCUUCAGACGCUCAUUGAACGAGUUUUCUUAAAGAGCGGUUCCAAUAAGUGUGGCCUUUCUCCACGACAAUUAGCCAAAACUAUGAAAGCAUUUGUGGUACUAGGAUUUUUUUGGAUCGUCUGCGCCAUCAGUGUGCAGAUCUUACACGUGAUUUCUCAAGAACAGAUGUCAUUUACAUUCCUUCAUGUCAGCUCUAAUGCUCAGUACUAUACUCUUGUGAUUCUCAUGUUACUGGGAUGUGUUAUUCUCGAUACUGUAUACGUCACCGCAAUAAUCGACUACGUCACACAGUGUCAACUCUUAAUAUAUUUACUACAAGGUUUAUGUGACCGUGUAAGAGAGAGAACUAUAGAUUUAGAAGAAGCCAUUAAAGAUAUUCAAGAAGCAGAGACGCUAUCCCGAAUAGUCAAUUAUCGCAUUGCGUCAUGCAUAUCAUUACUUUUAUUCAAUUUGGGUUUAAUGGCUGUACUCGACUGUGUUGCGUUUGCUGACGGUAGGUUGUUAAAUUUUACAACGUUAAUGUACAUGGCUAGCCUUUGUGGUGCAGUGGUUUGGAUUUGUAUUUCCGGAACUCCGUUCAUACAGGCUGCUCGGCUUAACUCGGCAUGUCGGGCAGUGCUGACACUGGGGCACGAGAUACGCUCGAGACCGUUCGGCUUUCAAGAUACACAAACGGGAGCUCUCGAUUCAUUCCUUUUAUUUACAUCCACUAUCACGUUUAAGGCUAAACUGUUCCGAACAACAGUGAACUCGUCGUUUCUGUGCGUUUCUUUUACUAUAAUAUCGUUUACAUUACUCUUCCUCUUCCAAUUGGAAUUCUUUCAAGUUUGGAACUGAUCAUCAAGUUAGACAAUAAUGUUAAUUUGGAUUACAUUAUUUAAUGAUGACGGUAUGUUCCGUUUGCUAGUGACAGUGCAACAUUAGUUCAUGUGUUGAUAAGAGUGGUGGAUAUAUAUAAGUAUAAUGACUUUUAUGUGCCUUCACAGUCGGAUAUUUUUAAGGACAGAAAUAAAGAAAAGAACAGACUGAAAGAAAGAGAGAAAAGAGCAAAAAAAAAAAAAGAAGCAAAAUAGAAUCUAUGAAAGACAUCAUCUGCCUUCUUUUUAGGGUUGUGCAGACUUUAUGAUGAUGUGACUAUGUGUUGCACAAGGGCAUACUGUAGUAUGUUGGGCGUUUUAUUGAGGACAAAUGUUGUCCAUUCAUCGACAUCGACUUGUUGAGCAUUAAAAUGAUGACCCCAAUAAACCUUACUAUCUUUAAUAUUUUUGCCAAAAUUGUAACACGAAAUAAUUAGAAUCCAUGCUCAUGGAUAAAUCAUGGAACAUUAAGAUACCUACAAUUUCUUUGUAUACAUGUCGAUAUGCCUCUAUUUGGAAAUAAAUCGUGUGUAUUGUAGCUACUAGGGAUGGCAGUUUUUUUACAACACAAAAGUACUUUGUAGUUUUGUUAAAACUUUGAGAGUCAAACGUACGUAUGAGAGGCUCGUUCAAUGGUCAGUGAAUAAUAAAGCUGCACACUGCCUUUCAGCCAAUUACAGAGAGAAACGCUCAGGUUAUUUAUCUUAAAUUUAGUUUAACAGCAAGUGCAUCCCAUUUUAAUAGACCUUCCAGAGUGCCAAUCAAACUUGACCAACCAGAACAGUCAGGAAUAUGCGCGUGUCUAACAAACACAUAUGUUGUCCUACAAAUGCAAUGUUUGCGUAUGUGAACCACUAUCUCUAUACAUGUAUAUUAAGGGACCUCCUGACCAACAAAAUUCAAGAGGUGGAGCUUAGUGGCAAGGGCCAUUAGGAAUACUGUAUUCUUUUAAAUAUUGCAUAUUUUAUGUUGAAAAAAAUAAAUAAAUAAAAAAUCUGA
rnacentral:misc_RNA from 1 species